AUGGAGAGGAUGCAGCAGCGAAUCAGGCAGAUCGCCGGCGGCGACCAGGCAAAGUUAGCCAGGCUGAAGGAGAUCCUUACUUGGUUUGACAAUGAGUGGGAGAUUUCGAGGGUGGUGCGGGCCAUGUGGCAAUGUAUGCGAAAGAGUGAGACAGCGACGAUGAGGGUGGCGAUGUACAUGUACUCCUUGGUGGCAGUCACAUCGCAGUCCUCCGAGUUCAACGAGUAUCUCCUCUGGGCGAUGGAGCAGACAGAUUCACCCGAGGCGACAGUUAGGCGGAGGUGGUGGGCGUACAGGUCGAAGGUCGAGCACCCAGAGGAUAACAAAUCGAUCGAGUAUGGUGUGCCAUUCGUGAGGGUGCAAAGCCAGCCAGAGCCACAGGAGUAUUCGUUCUCCCACCGCAAGAGGAGGCCGGAUGGCGCGACGUCACUUCCCCGCCGUUCUCCAUGGUUCCCUCGACGCUCACCUCGUUUCAACGGUGGUGGUAGGGUUUAA
rnacentral:rRNA from 1 species